GGGGGACCGGGGAAAGGCCGGGUGGGGGGAGAAGAGGGGCUGGACGGGGGCAGAGGAGGAGGCCUGGGGGGCGGGGGGGGGGGGACGGGAAGGGUCCUGGGAGCAGCAGUGGGGGGACGGGAGGGGCUAGGCGAGAGGAGAAGAGGGGCUGGACAGGGGAUCGAGGAGGGGGCCUGGGGUGCGAGGAAGGGAAGGGAGUCGACCCGGGGGCCGUCUCUGGGGAGCGGGGAGCAUUUGGAGGGCGCUGGUGCUGGUCCGGGAGGAGGUGGCUUCCCUUUGCGGCUCGUCUCUGGGUGCGGGUCACAGUUGCCGCGUGCAAGGAACUCAGUAGCCCCUCCCUGGCGGGUCGUAAAGACAGGCGGGGUCUGGGUGGCCCUUCCUCCCUUGGCGCAGAAAUGCUGCCUGGGCCGUCUGCGGGGGCGGCGGGCAGGCCUGGCCCUCCAGGUGAGCGCAGGGCACCUAAGGCCAUUUGGGAUGCCGUGUGGAUGGGCGGCUAGAAUUUCGGCAUCUGGUCUCCUCUGGGAUCCCUCGUUCUCUCCAGAGCCGAGCUGGCUCUAUCUUCCUCCUUGGAAGUAAGCUUGAAGGCCCGGACAGGCACCCAUAGGAGGUGCCAGCCCUAUUGCCCCCCUCCCCCCACCACUCAAGUUACCACCGUCUCUGCUUGUAGGCCCAGCUCCGGGGUUACCGGGAGGCAGGCGCUGCCCUCCCACAUUCCGGAGGGGGACACUUUUAGGCUCUGGGGGACUCAGCGGUAAGGGAAGAAGGAUGUGAGGCAGGCAUCUCCCCCGGGACCCGGCACAUCCAGGCUGAGGAUAGACUGCCCCUGAGGAGGCUUGCUGGAGGAGGUCUUCCUCCUAAAGGCCUGGGAGAGAGCCGGACGGCUGGGGGUGGGACAGACGGCUGAGCAGGUCCAAGGAUGGGGAGGUGCCCUUCUGACCUCUGUGCCCCCAGGGUCUUUCCCUCACGGCUGGCCCAGCUCAACCCUUCCUUCUCCUGCGUAACCCUUCCUUCUGCUCAACCCUUCCUUCUCCGUGUGGGCGGCUGCCGCAGCCCACCCCAGCAGGGCUCCGGGCCUGCCCUCAUAGCGUGUCUGCUCCUCCCCACCCAGCUCCAGGAGGACACGGACACGUGUCUCCCCAUAGCCCUAGUGCUGAGACGGUCCCCGCGCAUAGGAAGCACCGGUGUUUGUUACGUGCACACAUCUGCCCCAGGUUCACCAACCAAGAAGCUGUCAGGCAAGCUGAGUAACUUGCCUGAAGGCACAGGGCUCAAAGUGACAGAGGUCUGACUGCGGGGGCCCAGGACAGCCAUCUGCCUUUCUCUCAGCUCUCCCUGCCCAGCCCCGUGUCUCCUUGGCUCCUCCUGCAGGGCCUCCGCUGCAGACGGCGGAAGGGUGGGCCACCGUGCCUGUGCUUGGCACCGGGUGGCCCCAAGUCAGGGCCUUCAAAGAAGUAAUUCAGGUAAAAGGAGGCCACCUGACUGGUGUGCUCACCAGAGGAAGUGUGGACACACGGGGAGACCAGGAGAACUCACACGCGUUGGGUCGGCCAUACGAAGAGGCUGGCGGCCUAUGAGCCAGGGAGAGAGGCCCCAGAGGAAGCCAGCACACCAGCGCCUUGGCCUUGCACUUCUAGCCUCCAAACUGAAACUGCUUCCUCCCCAGGAAGUCAGCCAUGUGACUUGGCGCUGGACUGCUGCUGGGUGGGGCGGGGGACACCUGCCCCCGUGCACACCGGCUGCCAGGAAUGCCGCCCUCUGCCCUCCGCCCUCAAGGAGGGGCCUUCCAACUAUGGCCUGUCGAGGCCGAUUGCCUGGAAGACACAUCCUGGGCCCAAAGAGGCCUGAACGCGUAGAGGUUUUGCAGCCCGGACACAGAAUAGAGAACUGAGUCCCCAAACGAAAACAUGAAGGAAGAGAGAGAAGAAAGAUCCCUGGAAGCCUCGUGAACCGCAAGCCGAUCUCAGAGGACUGUUGCAGUCAGCUACUGUGGGGCCAAGGCACACCCCCUGAGAGACUGCCGGGCAGUGAGGACCCCGUCCACGGACGCACAGGCGGGGAGGGCGGUGGGGAGGAUGAAGGUCAGGCCAGGGCUGGCCCCUCAUUCCGUCUGCGUAGACAGAAGCAUGAACACCAGGGAGGAGAAAGUGACCAGCCUGAACCUCGGGCGUGACGUCUGGACCCUGGGAACGGGGUCAGCUCAGGGCACCUCCUUACGGGGCACUUCCGACGGGGAAGCUGAGGCCACAGCCUCUGAGGAGGUACAGGAGUGGCUCAAGCUCACUGAGCCCUGCUGGGUGCCAGGUACCCCACCUUGCAAGCUGAACCAGACAAGAAAAGGAGGGAAGUUCCGCCUGACUCUGAGGGCGCCUAGCAGAGGGUCCGGCCUGACCCAGGGGGUCAGCAAGGCUUGGGAAAAGGGUGCAGAGUUGAGCUCCGGAAGGAGAACGAGGGCACAUGGGAUUGGUAAAUUAAAGUCCUAAUAGAAGGGUGCAUCUCACAACUGCAGAGCUUAGCCAGGGAACCGGACUCAUGGAGCCCUGUGGCGGCAACAGAGUCUACCUUUAAUGGAUACCUCACUCUGUGCCAGUAGGGCCCCCGGGGGACCGCGUUUGUUGGAGAUAAAGCCAGUGGUCCCAUUUUACAGAUUGGGGACUUGAGGCCCAGAGGGGCAAUCUGCCACAGGAGCUGGGCUUUGAGGCUUUGUCUGAGCCCAAACAUGGAGCUUGUUGUGUCUACAGGCAGGCUCCCAAAUCAGGGCGGGGGCCAAGGGUGGGCUGGCCCAGGCUGGGCUGGACCACUUCGGCGCUUUGAUUGUUUUAAGGAAAAGUUACUUAAGAGACAACCAGUGCCAGAAGGACACUCUGACCCUCCUCCGUCCCCCUGAAAGCGGGAAAUCCAUCUCCCUCUUGGAAGGUACGGUCCCUGGACCAGGAGGUAAAAAACCACCCUUAUCACCAGAGAUAAGAAAUCCAGGGCUCAGAAGGCUGUCCGCGCAGCGCUCGUUACUUCUUGCUAACGUACUCCCCCAGCCCAGAGUCUGUUGAAAACGCCGUCUAACUGCAGCCCCCCCAGUUCCAUUUUCUUUGUCCUGCCGAUUCCUCCCAGGUUUACGUCUCUCUGAAAAGUGUAAGAACUGCCCGCCUCGGUCAUUUCCUGAAGCCUCAAUUUCCUUACUGGGCCUCCCUGCGCACGUCAUAAAACUCUGGGUUUUUUUUUUCCUGUGAAUCUGUUUCCCGUAAAUUUAAUUCUUGGUCCAGCUGGAAGGCCUCAAAGGGCAGAGGAAGAAUUUUUCCCUCCCCACAUGAGAAACCGAAUCAUGACAGCAAGAUCUUUUUUUGUUACGGAAACAUCCAAGAAACCCUCAACCAAAUGAAAAGAUAAAUCAGAACCCCCUUUAAAUGGUUUCUCGGGUGCCCUAAUAGCACGGGGCCCAGGGCUUUGUUCACAUGGUGGGGGGAAGUGUCCCCAACGUGGGGCAUCUGCUCACCAGGCUGCCAUUCCCAGGUGAGGGGACAAGGGACUUUGGCAGACAAACCACGUCUAGGGAAACUUACAAGGCUUGUUAUCUUAUCUCCAAA